rnacentral:rRNA from 1 species
CAGUUGCGGCGUCUACACAUGCAGUCCGACGUGAAAGGGGAGCAAUCCCCCGGUAGGGUGGCAAACGGGUGAGUAAGACAUGGGUGAUCUGCCCUGGAGAUGGGGAUAUCCCUCCGAAAGGGGGGGCAAUACCGAAUAGUAUCCGGUUCCGUGAAGGGGGCCGGGGAAAGGGAGGCCUCUGGUACAAGCUUCCGCUCCUGGAUGAGCCCAUGGCCCAUCAGCUAGUUGGUAGGGUAAAGGCCUACCAAGGCGACGACGGGUAGCUGGUCUGAGAGGACAACCAGCCACACUGGCACUGAGACACGGGCCAGACUCCUACGGGAGGCAGCAGUGAGGAAUAUUGCGCAAUGGGGGCAACCCUGACGCAGCAACGCCGCGUGUGGGAAGAAGGCUUUCGGGUUGUAAACCACUUUUGCCCGGGACGAAAGGGGGGACCUGAAUAAGGUUGCCCGAUGACGGUACCGGGAGAAUAAGCCACGGCUAACUCUGUGCCAGCAGCCGCGGUAAGACAGAGGUGGCAAGCGUUGUUCGGAGUUACUGGGCGUAAAGAGUCUGUAGGUGGUCUGUCAAGUCUUUGGUGAAAGGCCGUGGCUUAACCAUGGGAAUGCCAAAGAGACUGGCAGACUGGAGGCUGGGAGAGGGAAGCGGAAUUUCUGGUGUAGCGGUGAAAUGCGUAGAUAUCAGAAGGAAGGCCGGUGGCGAAGGCGGCUUCCUGGAACAGACCUGACACUGAGAGACGAAAGCGUGGGGAGCAAACAGGAUUAGAUACCCUGGUAGUCCACGCCCUAAACGAUGGGUACUAA